AAAGAGUGUUUUUCGAUUGAAGUGCACACGUGGGAGUAGAAAGAAAAAAGAAAGUCAACCAUACAAUAAUUGUAUGAGGAUUACUGAAAUUUUUAAAGAUGCACGCUGUGGAUCAGAUUUCUGUUGGGUCAUUUCUCCAUUCGUCGGGAGGUGGUUUUGACUAUUUUCAUUCUGAGCUAGGAAUUUCAAACCAGUUGCUGGGAUGAAAGGGAUAAAUUUAGGAUUUCAGCCAAGUUUCAGAGGAAAAGGGCUCAUAGUUUGCUAUCCUUAUUUUUUAUUCAACCUUUACUGUUAUUUCAGAAUAUCUUGAAUUCUGUCUCAGGCUUUACACAUGCUAAUGAGGCAUGAUCUGCAUAGAGUGGUAGCAUUUUUAAUUGGUUUCCAUGCUACAGGUAGGAUACAUACAGAACUCUGCAGUAUGGGCUCCAACAUAUGUUGUUUCCUUAUUCCUUUAGACUAGCACAGAUUUUGAGAAGCUUAUCAGUGGCAAAGUGUGGGGUUAGUUCAGGUACCUCUUUUAGCACCCCACCAUGUGGGAAGGCUCCUAACAAGAGGCACUUUAAAAGGUUGUAGUUUGACUCUCACAGCAAUGAAUACGAAUUUCUCCAUUUCUCUCUUCUGGGUACAAUGCAGGUCUCCACUGAGUGAUAAUGGUGAUACCAUUGACACUGCACCACAGCAUCUUCCACUGACACUGAAAUAUUGAAUGACUAUUGCAGAGAGACAAUGGGAAGAAAUUGUAUGGGCUAUGGAGAAGGAAGAAGCUCAGAACAUUAAACAGUUUACAAAAAGGUGCACCUUUCAUUGGCCUCAGGCAGCUACACGACUACAUCCAAGAUUAAAAUACAGUAGCUGCAGUUACCUGCCUUGCCCUGAGGAGCGAGAACAUCCUGUGGGUGCAGUGGUCCGAGGCCUGGCUGCUGGGUGUGCUUCCUUUUGAUGGGCUCUGGAUAGAAAGUCGAUUGCUUUUUAAGGUCAUUUAUGCUUCUGAAGUAGGAAGGUCCUCAGUGGUAACAGCAGUCAACAGGCACAAGCUGCCCCUGUCUGAGGCUCCUUUUGGAGCCCUUGCCUGUCCUUCCUUCAGCUUGCACAUCUGGUGAAGAAAAUUAUUUAAAUGCCAACCAGAGAGCGGUUCUGUGCUAGGCUAAGGUCAUUCAUAAAUAUUCAUUUAUCCUCUUGAUGUGCCAUUUAUGUAUGUAUCCCUAUGAAUAUAUAUUCAUAUAUUUGGGUCUAGAAAGCGGAGGUGAGUAUAUCAGUGCACGUAUACAAACACAGGCGUAUACACUCUAGGCAGAUAUACACACAGAAAUGCAUACAGACAGUCAUGAAUACAAGAUUAAAUUGUACUCUGCUGUCAAUAUUUAUAUCAGCUUCCAGGCCUUUCCUGAAUCCUGUUAAUUUUUCUAGUUUCUAUAACAUUCAUUGGCCAUUAAUUAGACAGAAUUAUGUGUUAAUUAAUUAGAAUUACGUGCUAACUUCUUGUAUUUACAUAGACUUUCCUACCUGCUCAUUCCUCAUCCUGCAGCCAAGGCAAGGAGAGGAGGGCUCCCACUGCCGCCUUCUGCAGCCUGCUCAUUAGUUUGCAUAGGCUUAUUAUGCUCCUUGCUGUUGGUCUCCAGUGUAAGGGAAAUGAACCUAAUUGUGAAGAGGGGAGGUUUACAAAGUCUUCAUUCUUCCUUCGUAACUCUUGCUGCACUCUCUGAUUCCUCCUUUC
rnacentral:lncRNA from 1 species